rnacentral:lncRNA from 1 species
CGCUUGCUACAGGAACCCCCAGGCGUGUUCGUGUACGCAGAAACGCGUCGGUAACGCAGACCCGCGCUCGAGCAGCAGCACAGCUCCCGGUGCGCCGGUCCUUCCCGCUUGUUAAAUUUCCCGUUUCCGAGAAGCGGGUUGUAAACGGUUCAGCCAGCCCCCCUCUCACCGCUUGGCCAACCCCUGGCAGCACCGCUGUCUGAACCAGGGAAAGCUGGUGCCUCGGGAGCCGGGAAGGGCGUCGGGGCGUCCGGCAGAGCCCCUGCGUGUGCCGACGCCUGCUCUUCCCUUGCAGCUCCGCUGCUCCCCUGCGGCCGGGGACGGCCUGGUCGCCGGCACUCGCAGGCCAAGGUUUCGCUCUAAAUGGCCGUGUGAAGCUGCACUGAAAAUAAAAUCCAGUUUGGAGAUUGACGGUAGAAGGUGAAGCUUAACCGACCUAUCAGUCUUCAUUAUGGACAGCAGCAUAGCACAGAGAUACGGGGACAGCCACUGUGUCUCACUGCCCUUUCUCUAAAACCUCCUAUAGAAUCCAUGGCUGGAGGCUAACUGCCACCCACUGUCGUUCUUUUGCUGUCUUCGUGGGAGAGUGGUUCCUGCAUGACAUCUCUCCUUAUGUUGUUAGAUGAAGAAGUCAGCUACAGUGUGCUUAUGACAGUCCUUUACCUAAAGGCCGAUGAAACGCUCUCUACUUUCUGCUCUGUACUGAAGACAGCAGCAAAGGAUGUCACCCAUGUGUUGAGCUUAAGAAUCAAAUGAGCAGUUUGUCAUCUGAAAUGCCUGCAGGGAAAGCCCAAUGACACAGAGCAAUAACGCUUUUCCGUGCUACUGACAAGAAUGAUUCAGUGACCCUCACUAACGCAACCUGCUGAAGUGCUUUCCUCAGCAAGCACGAACUUUGGGAGAGAUGAGCUGGCAAGCCCAGCUGGGUCCCACUGGGAUGUGCUGGAAUAUGUUUUAUUUAUUCUGGGAUUAGAUUUGUAGGUUUUGAUUCAAUCAAUAGAUCUGAUGACUUAAUGUACUAGCUGGGAAGACACAGCCAGUUUCUGAAGCUUCCCUUUCAUGCCUGCUGUCGCCUGCUCUCCUCUUGCCGGUUUAGCCAGGUCGUCACCAGAGCACAAGGGCUCAACCUCUGCAAGGACAGGAGUAACUCUCCAAGUGCAGUGACUGGCUUUUAGGUUAGAACACGCUGCAGAGAGUGUGGUGUUAUUCAUAAUAAUAACGAUUGAAUCUUAACCAUUAGAGGGCUUCUUCCGUCCUACUUGUAGGUGGAGCAUUUUGUCAUAUGUCAAAGAGAACUGAUGAGCAAAGC